GGUCUAUGCGUGCCUGCAGCAGAGCAGUUGGUGCUGUAUAGCUCUGGCUAUGGUCAAGGCUCUUGAAACUGCUUUCCAGAAGGGUUCCAGGGAUCACUGUAUCUGAGAAGCCGAUCAUUGCUGCUAGGAGUGCUUAACUAGAACUUGCUUGCUCUGUAGGCUUUCCUGAGUUUGGAACUUGAGACAUUAAAGGGUUAGUGGUAUAUACACCAUAUUUAUAUAUAAGCGAAGAAGAAUUGUUAUUUCUUGCAUGGUUCCAACUGCCUUCACUCCUCAACGAGAGGCCCAAAUGAUGCAAUAUUUUUUCUUAAUCCCAUUAGUUGUAUCUCUACUGGAAUUGUGAGGAAAUCUAUAGUUUACCAGAGGCCUUUUACUAUCAGUGGCGUUUUCUGAUAAUGACACAGAACGUGUCUUGCAGGCUCACAUUAUGUUGGUGUGGUAACAAGAGUUGAAUUUCAUUGCAGAGCUCUUGAACAUGAUGCUUCUAAAUUCAGGAAAUCUGCUGAGGUCAUUUCAGGGACUACUGUUUUGUACUUGUAUGUGAUCCUGCUGAGCUUUACUAGAUUUCCUCUUUUCAUUUAGAAGUUGUUCUGCUGAAAGGAAAAGCAUUUAAUUGAUUUAGAGAAAAUCUAAUCCAAGCUUGUCUUGAGUGAUGGUCUCUUUGGCAAAACCAGAAUAGUCUUUCUGUUGUUAUGAUACAUAUUUUGUCUCUACAUAAAAAUGUUCUUAGCUGCUCUAUCCCAUAGUAAGUUGUAAAUGUUUUAUCUUUUGUCAUCCUGCUCACUUUUAAGUGGCACAUACUAGAAAGUGUAUUUUGUUUCUAUCACGAAACAGGCUGAAGGAAGAAGCAGUGUUACUUAUCUUCUACAGUGACAGUGUGUAACAUUAAAGCAUUAGCUUCUGCUAAUUAGCAAAACAUAUUCUAACAAGAAAUCCUACUAAAACUCUUUCAUUACAUCUAUUGCUGUUAAACAUUAACUUUCAGUUUGAAUUACAUGCUGGAAACAAUUGCACUGGAAACAUUUCUGUGAUUAAGAAGUUAUUAAAAAAGUCACUAAAAUCCUCCUUACACAUACUUAUGUCAUCUUAUGCUUCUGUUUGUGUGUCUUAAAGCUCUAAUGGCACUAGAAAUAAUACCUCACAAUGCAUCUCUCCAAAAUUCCCAUUGGUGUGCUGAAAGAUAGUAUUAAGAUCAUUAAGAGCACGGUCUCUUUAUGCUCCCAUAAGCUUUCCAUUUAUUUGCUUUUAGAGCUCUAAACUGCUGCAAAGUUAAUAUUUACAGCAAGAUAAUACAUUAAUAAUAGAAAUAUGAUGCACACUUGCUCUUCCUGGUUAUUAAUAUUACUGUCUAGGCACACAUUGUAUGGUCAUAAGGAUUAUUUGCUUGCUAGACAUGUGCAAAUGUCAGGCACAGUUAGAAUCUUUGCUGGAAGCGUUGAAAUUCAAAAGACUAUGCUGUCCUAAAAACUUGAUUAUGUACUAAACACUGCGGCCCCCCCCUGUGUUUCCAGAUGUUCCCUCAGAGUGUUGCUAGAAGCAAUAGCAAGUUGGCUUUAUGGUAGAUAAGCAUGAUAUACAGACUGUAUAGCAACAAUUUUGGCUGAGCCUAUUGUGUCUGUACAGCUCAGAUUAGAGAGG
ensembl:lncRNA